rnacentral:rRNA from 1 species
GAUGAACGCUGGCGGCGUGCCUAAUACAUGCAAGUCGAGCGAACGGACGAGAAGCUUGCUUCUCUGAUGUUAGCGGCGGACGGGUGAGUAACACGUGGAUAACCUACCUAUAAGACUGGGAUAACUUCGGGAAACCGGAGCUAAUACCGGAUAAUAUUUUGAACCGCAUGGUUCAAAAGUGAAAGACGGUCUUGCUGUCACUUAUAGAUGGAUCCGCGCUGCAUUAGCUAGUUGGUAAGGUAACGGCUUACCAAGGCAACGAUGCAUAGCCGACCUGAGAGGGGGAUCGGCCACACUGGAACUGAGACACGGCCCAGACUCCUACGGGAGGCAGCAGUAGGGAAUCUGCCGCAAGGGGCGAAAGCCUGACGGAGCAACGCCGCGUGGGUGAUGAAGGUCUUCGGAUCGUAAAACUCUGUUAUUAGGGAAGAACAUAUGUGUAAGUAACGGUGCACAUCUUGACGGUACCGAAGCAGAAAGCCACGGCUAACUACGU